rfam:Schistocephalus solidus strain NST_G2 genome assembly, scaffold: SSLN_scaffold0000035
GUGGGUUACGGUGACAUGAGACCAGUGACGGUCUGGGGCAAGUUAGUGGGUUCCCUAUGUGCAAUUGCCGGUGUCCUCACAAUUGCAUUGCCAGUGCCCGUGAUUGUGUCCAAU